rnacentral:snRNA from 1 species
GUUGCUUCUUGAUCUUUUGGCUAAGAUCAGUUGUAGUAUCUCUUCUUAUCAGUUUAAUAUCUGAUAGUGUUCUAUCUGAGGACAAUAUCUUAAAUGGAGUUUUGAACCAGGGAGAUGGCACAGGAGCUUGCUUUGUCCACUCCACACAUCGACCUGGUUUUGCAGUGCCUCCAAGAAUGGUGUACUCCUU